GACAGAGGGUGCAAACGUUGUUCGGAAUUAUUGGGCGUAAAGAGCUCGUAGGCGGCCAGUUGCGUCUGCUGUGAAAUCCCGGGGCUCAACCCCGGGCUUGCAGUGGAUACGGGCUGGCUGGAGGCAGGCAGGGGAGAACGGAAUUCCCGGUGUAGCGGUGAAAUUCGUAGAUAUGGGGAGGAACACCGGUGGCGAAGGCGGCCACCUGGACGGUAACUGACGCUGAGACGCGAAAGCGUGGGGAGCAAACAGG
rnacentral:rRNA from 1 species